rnacentral:rRNA from 1 species
CGGGGGGGCAAGCGUUGUUCGGAAUUACUGGGCGUAAAGGGCGUGUAGGCGGCUCUUCAAGUCAGCCGUGAAAUCUCCGGGCUUAACCUGGAAGGGUCGGUUGAUACUGUCGAGCUAGAGUGUGGAAGAGGCAACUGGAAUUCCGUGUGUAGCGGUGAAAUGCGUAGAUAUACGGAGGAACACCUGCGGCGAAGGCGGGUUGCUGGGCCAACACUGACGCUGAAACGCGAAAGCUAGGGUAGCAAACGGGAUUAGAUACCCCGGUAGUCCUAGCCUUAAACGAUGCUGACUUGGUGUCCCGGGUCUUAAGUCCCGGGGUGCUGGAGCUAACGCGUUAAGUCAGCCGCCUGGGGAGUACGGUCGCAAGGCUG